rnacentral:rRNA from 1 species
CUACACAUGCAAGUCGAGCGGUAGCACAGAGAGCUUGCUCUCGGGUGACGAGCGGCGGACGGGUGAGUAAUGUCUGGGAAACUGCCUGAUGGAGGGGGAUAACUACUGGAAACGGUAGCUAAUACCGCAUAACGUCGCAAGACCAAAGUGGGGGACCUUCGGGCCUCAUGCCAUCAGAUGUGCCCAGAUGGGAUUAGCUAGUAGGUGGGGUAACGGCUCACCUAGGCGACGAUCCCUAGCUGGUCUGAGAGGAUGACCAGCCACACUGGAACUGAGACACGGUCCAGACUCCUACGGGAGGCAGCAGUGGGGAAUAUUGCACAAUGGGCGCAAGCCUGAUGCAGCCAUGCCGCGUGUGUGAAGAAGGCCUUCGGGUUGUAAAGCACUUUCAGCGGGGAGGAAGGCGAUAAGGUUAAUAACCUUGUCGAUUGACGUUACCCGCAGAAGAAGCACCGGCUAACUCCGUGCCAGCAGCCGCGGUAAUACGGAGGGUGCAAGCGUUAAUCGGAAUUACUGGGCGUAAAGCGCACGCAGGCGGUCUGUCAAGUCGGAUGUGAAAUCCCCGGGCUCAACCUGGGAACUGCAUUCGAAACUGGCAGGCUAGAGUCUUGUAGAGGGGGGUAGAAUUCCAGGUGUAGCGGUGAAAUGCGUAGAGAUCUGGAGGAAUACCGGUGGCGAAGGCGGCCCCCUGGACAAAGACUGACGCUCAGGUGCGAAAGCGUGGGGAGCAAACAGGAUUAGAUACCCUGGUAGUCCACGCCGUAAACGAUGUCGAUUUGGAGGUUGUGCCCUUGAGGCGUGGCUUCCGGAGCUAACGCGUUAAAUCGACCGCCUGGGGAGUACGGCCGCAAGGUUAAAACUCAAAUGAAUUGACGGGGGCCCGCACAAGCGGUGGAGCAUGUGGUUUAAUUCGAUGCAACGCGAAGAACCUUACCUGGUCUUGACAUCCACAGAACUUUCCAGAGAUGGAUUGGUGCCUUCGGGAACUGUGAGACAGGUGCUGCAUGGCUGUCGUCAGCUCGUGUUGUGAAAUGUUGGGUUAAGUCCCGCAACGAGCGCAACCCUUAUCCUUUGUUGCCAGCGGUCAGGCCGGGAACUCAAAGGAGACUGCCAGUGAUAAACUGGAGGAAGGUGGGGAUGACGUCAAGUCAUCAUGGCCCUUACGACCAGGGCUACACACGUGCUACAAUGGCAUAUACAAAGAGAAGCGACCUCGCGAGAGCAAGCGGACCUCAUAAAGUAUGUCGUAGUCCGGAUUGGAGUCUGCAACUCGACUCCAUGAAGUCGGAAUCGCUAGUAAUCGUAGAUCAGAAUGCUACGGUGAAUACGUUCCCGGGCCUUGUACACACCGCCCGUCACACCAUGGGAGUGGGUUGCAAAAGAAGUAGGUAGCUUAACCUUCGGGAGGGCGCUACC